UAAACGACUCUCGGCAACGGAUAUCUCGGCUCUCGCAUCGAUGAAGAACGUAGCGAAAUGCGAUACUUGGUGUGAAUUGCAGAAUCCCGCGAACCAUCGAGUCUUUGAACGCAAGUUGCGCCCGAAGCCAUUAGGUUGAGGGCACGCCUGCCUGGGCGUCUCACGU
rnacentral:rRNA from 1 species